rnacentral:misc_RNA from 1 species
UCUCCGUAGGUGAACCUGCGGAGGGAUCAUUACAGAGUUCACGCCCUACUGGGUAGAUCUCCCACCCUAUGUUAUUAUUACUUUGUUGCUUUGGCGGGCCGUUAGGCUCCGGCCCGACUACCGGCCCCGGCUGGUAAGCGCCCGCCAGAGGACCCAAAACCCUGAAUAUUAGUGUCGUCUGAGUACUAUAUAAUAGUUAAAACUUUCAACAACGGAUCUCUUGGUUCUG